rnacentral:rRNA from 1 species
GAUGAACGCUGGCGGCGUGCCUAAUACAUGCAAGUAGAACGCUGAAGCUUGGUGCUUGCACCGAGCGGAUGAGUUGCGAACGGGUGGGUAACGCGUAGGUAACCUGCCUCUUAGCGGGGGAUAACUAUUGGAAACGAUAGCUAAUACCGCAUAAAAGACGAUAUCGCAUGAUAUUGAUUUGAAAGGUGCAAAUGCAUCACUAAGAGAUGGACCUGCGUUGUAUUAGCUAGUUGGUGAGGUAACGGCUCACCAAGGCAACGAUACAUAGCCGACCUGAGAGGGUGAUCGGCCACACUGGGACUGAGACACGGCCCAGACUCCUACGGGAGGCAGCAGUAGGGAAUCUUCGGCAAUGGGGGUAGCCCUGACCGAGCAACGCCGCGUGAGUGAAGAAGGUUUUCGGAUCGUAAAGCUCUGUUGUAAGAGAAGAACGAGUGUGAGAGUGGAAAGUUCACACUGUGACGGUAACUUACCAGAAAGGGACGGCUAACUACGUGCCAGCAGCCGCGGUAAUACGUAGGUCCCGAGCGUUAUCCGGAUUUAUUGGGCGUAAAGCGAGCGCAGGCGGUUAGAUAAGUCUGAAGUUAAAGGCUGUGGCUUAACCAUAGUACGCUUUGGAAACUGUUUAACUUGAGUGCAGAAGGGGAGAGUGGAAUUCCAUGUGUAGCGGUGAAAUGCGUAGAUAUAUGGAGGAACACCGGUGGCGAAAGCGGCUCUCUGGUCUGUAACUGACGCUGAGGCUCGAAAGCGUGGGGGAGCAAACAGG